UGGACUCUUAAAGAAGGCUUCUGAGUU
rnacentral:piRNA from 1 species